GGGAGCACAAAGCCUGGGUAAGAUGCCCUCCAUCCUAUGGCUCCCCAAAUAAGAAACAGGAUUACCUCGUCACUUUCUGGUCUGUGGUCUGCCCCAAAGACCAGGAGCUACCUCCAGAUACCACUGACUUGGGAUUAAGUUUCCAAUGCAUUUUCCUCUGGGAUGGCGAGACAUUCAGACCACAGUCAUCUCCUUCUGUCACUGCAUGGAAUGAAAAGGCUUCAUUUUGCAGACAUGGAAGAGAAUAGAACAAGAGAUUCCACAGAUCAACACAGGGUGGUGUCAACAAGAGACAUCAAUGAGGCAUAGAACCCGGGUUGCUGCUGGACACAGCUACUUGCCAGCUCUGCUAACUCUAGCUCUCAGGCUGUGCUAGCCAUUGGCUUUCCCUACCAGAGGGAGGUUCUAAUGGGCAGACACAGUCACAGCAUUAGUGGGUGCUCACCAUGAGAGGUCAAGACAACUGUGUGAGUUGGUCUGAAGCAGAGUCCUCUUCCCCGAGCAUGAAGACCAAGAAAGGUGAUCAUAGAACUGGUUCAGUGGGUGCCCUGUGAAUCCAGAAGAAAGCAUCAGAUCUCCCUGGAACUGGAAGCACUGAUGGUGUGAGUCACCAUGUGGGUCCUGGGAACCAACCAAGGCCCUCUGCAAAAGCCACACAUGCUCUUAGCUAUAGAGCCAUCUCGCCAGCUCCAUCUUUAAUUCUCUUGGCACUGAAAAUUUUUACUCCAAGAAAAUCUCACCUAAGCGUCCAUCAAAACCAAAGAAAAAUCAGCAAUCUCAGGAUAUUUGAUAUGUGACCUCUGUGGAAGGGUCAUCAAACUCAAAGGAGUCAUGACCCUCAGGUUGAGAACUGCUGUCCCAGUGCGACUAGGCAGCUCGUCCCAAUAGGCCAGAGUGUUUCCGGGAUGGUGGCUGCUUGAUCAACCAGGCCCUGGAAGGAGGAACGACCAGAAGAGAGCCCUGACUCAGUCUGGAAUUGAUCACACUUGGAUUGAAUAAGGCCACUGAGGUGUUGGGAUUGCAUGCUGUUACUACCGCAUAACCCACUCAGCCUUGACCGAGCCCAGGUCUCCAGAAUUCCCAUGUGGCCUAAGCUGAGGUGUUUUCCUAGAUGUCAUUCCUGCCCAUACUGUAGAUGGUGUGCUGGGUUUGGGAAGUCUUCUGCCUUUCACAUGGAUCUGAGGACCAGUUCUGAGCUGCCUCAUACAGGAGACUACAGUGAGCUGAAUGGUACCCUUCAGAAAGGCCUGGACUGUGACAUUACUGGGGGUUUGAAGAGGUCUUUGUAAAUGUAGUUAAGGCUCUGAAGCAGAUCAGCCUGAAUUAGCAAUGUGGGCCUCAGUGGCCCAGUGGCAGGUGUGAAGCAGGGAGGCCAGGGUUUAACUUAAUGGUGGAGCAGUUAAGUUUGUUUUUUAAGUUCCUAUUGAAGUUGCAACAUUGCUUAAUAAACAAGGUACUG
rnacentral:lncRNA from 1 species